ACUGCUCAGUAACACGUGGAUAACCUGCCCUUGGGUCCGGCAUAACCCCGGGAAACUGGGGAUAAUUCCGGAUAACGCAUAUGUGCUGGAAUGCUUUAUGCGUCAAAUGGAUUCGUCUGCCCAAGGAUGGGUCUGCGGCCUAUCAGGUAGUAGUGGGUGUAAUGUACCUACUAGCCGACAACGGGUACGGGUUGUGAGAGCAAGAGCCCGGAGAUGGAUUCUGAGACAUGAAUCCAGGCCCUACGGGGCGCAGCAGGCGCGAAAACUUUACAAUGCGGGAAACCGUGAUAAGGGGACACCGAGUGUCAGCAUCAUAUGCUGGCUGUCCAGGUGUGUAAAAUACACCUGUUAGCAAGGGCCGGGCAAGACCGGUGCCAGCCGCCGCGGUAACACCGGCGGCCCGAGUGGUGAUCGUGAUUAUUGGGUCUAAAGGGUCCGUAGCCGGUUCGGUCAGUCCUCCGGGAAAUCUGAUAGCUCAACUAUUAGGCUAUCGGGGGAUACUACCAGACUUGGAACCGGGAGAGGUAAGAGGUACUACAGGGGUAGGAGUGAAAUCUUGUAAUCCCUGUGGGACCACCUGUGGCGAAGGCGUCUUACCAGAACGGGUUCGACGGUGAGGGACGAAAGCUGGGGGCACGAACCGGAUUAGAUACCCGGGUAGUCCCAGCCGUAAACGAUGCUCGCUAGGUGUCAGGCAUGGCGCGACCGUGUCCGGUGCCGCAGGGAGGCCGUGAAGCGAGCCACCUGGGAAGUACGGCCGCAAGGCUGAAACUUAAAGGAAUUGGCGGGGGAGCAC
rnacentral:rRNA from 1 species